ACAUCGUUUGAAGCAAUACAAAAACAUUAGGAAAGAAGGCAAACCAUUCAACCUUUCUGUCGAGUACAAUUCAAUGUUAUCCAACUUGUUUUCCACUCUAAAUUCUCCUUACCCUCCAUGCCUACCCAUAAUUAAUUACCAACAAAUAAGGGAAAGAAAAUCCAUCUCUUUCUCUUUCUCUCCUGAAAAUCAUUGCAUAUAUAAUGGUCUAAAUCUUUCCAAAAUCAAUCUGCACGAGAAAUCCAAACUAAAAAUCUUGUUCCAAGAUCCCUAUAUAUUUUUCUGGUUUUUUUCUCAGUUCCCAAACACUUCAAUUUCCCAGAGUUAUCAAACAGUUGAAAUACAUAGAAAGCAAUGAGUCGGAGAGCAAACAGUCCAAAGCUGGAAUUGACGCUGAAGCUAUCACCACCACCACCAAGGGCGGCGCCCAACCAACAAGUAGGUUCGCCCAACACAUCGGUUUCGUCGUGGGAAAUGUCUCUUGAAAGCUCGUGCGUGUCUUCGGAGCCCGACAACUCCACGACGACGAUGCAAUACCCCAGCAGUCCUGAAGAAACUUCGAUGGUGCUGGUGGGAUGCCCUCGAUGCCUCAUGUAUGUUAUGCUAUCGGAAGUGGAUCCCAAGUGCCCCCGAUGCAAGAGUACCGUCUUGCUUGAUUUUCUUAACGAAGAGAAUACCAAAAAGACAAGGAACUAAAACGAUGAACCUCUAGGAUUCGUCUGUCUUUCCUUGCUUUUCUCAUGAAACAAACACGUUACUUAAUUCCUAGGUCUUCUUUUGUGGUUUUUUUUUUUUUUUGGUUUUGUUUUGUUUCUCUCUCUCUCUCUCUCUCUCUGAAUGUUUGAACUUUGAAGUUCUAAUUAUAUAUUUUUGUUUAUUUUAUGUCUGGUUUGAUUUCCCUGCAAGAAAAUCUUUUUACACAA